CAGCAGCCGCGGUAAUACGUAGGGUGCAAGCGUUAAUCGGAAUUACUGGGCGUAAAGCGUGCGCAGGCGGUUAUAUAAGACAGAUGUGAAAUCCCCGGGCUCAACCUGGGAACUGCAUUUGUGACUGUAUAGCUAGAGUACGGCAGAGGGGGAUGGAAUUCCGCGUGUAGCAGUGAAAUGCGUAGAUAUGCGGAGGAACACCGAUGGCGAAGGCAAUCCCCUGGGCCUGUACUGACGCUCAUGCACAAAAGCGUGGGGAGCAAACAGGAUUAGAUACCCCCGUAGUCCCUGUCUCUUAUAA
rnacentral:rRNA from 1 species